rnacentral:sRNA from 1 species
AAUCUUAUCAAUAGUGCAUAAUAACAUAUAUUGGAGUGUGAAAAAAUGCAAACAUCUCAAAACAUCUCAACUAGUGUGAACUAGUGUAGAGAUGUCUUUCAAAACGACAUAAGCAAAACGAGCCAAUUUAGACAUGGCAUAAGAUCUUUUUACUUAAAGUUGGUUCAGGCGCACCGUGGCAUCUGUUUGCCAGCAUUGUUCUUCGCUUUAUUUCAAUACUGGUGUCAUUCGUUUCGGUAAUGACGGUGCCGAGGGUGCUGUUACGACUACCAGAGACCGACCCUUGAUAUCGCUGGCGUUGUCUUAGGCGAGUAGCAUGUGUUUUCUUAUGAGUAGUGUGCCAUAUCUAUUCACAUCUGUAUCCCGUAAAAUCUUCUACAGCCAGAUAUUAAGGAGGUCGCACGUUAAGCUGUCUCCUUGUCUGAAACCUCGUUUGGGAUACCAAACUCAGACAUGGCUUGAAAUGUAUUUGAACGUAUAGGGCUGCCGAAAGCGGCUUUGUAGUCAACGAAGAGAUGAUAAGAGUGGACCUGGCCUUCUCGGGGUUUUCCAGGAUUUGGCAUAGUGUGAAUAUCUGGUCUAUGGUGGAUUUACCAGGUCUAAAGCCGCAUUAAGCCCAGAGGUUGCCAUGUUCGUCUAUGACGCCGAACGCCUGGGUUCGAAUACUGGCGGCUAUGAGAAGGAGGCCCCUUAUCAUUGAACUUAAACUUAAAACGGACAGCACUCAUUGAUAUGUAAGAAGUUUGCCCAUGGUACAAUUAAGAGGUAGCGUCAACAUAGCACUGUUUAGUUGGUUAUGUAUAGAAUA